AAACAAGCAAUGAACGGAAUAAGUAGUCUCCUGUCCCUGUUUUAAAGAGAGCUUUCGGCUGGUGGAAGAAAGCACAAACAGUGAGAUGAAUUACCUCCCGGAGCUUUCACCGCGAAGGAAUAGUAGCGGCUGACGUCUGCCGUCGUUACCGGUUUAGAGUGGAGAAUGGUUUCUCAAGCUUGGGUGGUACCGCGCGUAAAAGCGUCCCUGCA
rnacentral:ncRNA from 1 species